UACGGAAGGCAGCAGGGGGAAUAUUGCACAAUGGGCGCAAGCCUGAUGCAGCCAUGCCGCGUGUAUGAAGAAGGCCUUCGGGUUGUAAAGUACUUUCAGCGGGGAGGAAGGCGAUGCGGUUAAUAACCGCGUCGAUUGACGUUACCCGCAGAAGAAGCACCGGCUAACUCCGUGCCAGCAGCCGCGGUAAUACGGAGGGUGCAAGCGUUAAUCGGAAUUACUGGGCGUAAAGCGCACGCAGGCGGUCUGUUAAGUCAGAUGUGAAAUCCCCGGGCUUAACCUGGGAACUGCAUUUUGAAACUGGCAGGCUUGAGUCUCGUAGAGGGGGUAGAAUUCCAGGUGUAGCGGUGAAAUGCGUAGAGAUCUGGAGGAAUACCGGUGGCGAAGGCGGCCCCUGGGACGAAGACUGACGCUCAGGGUGCGAAAGCGUGGGGAGCAAACAGGGAUUUAGAUA
rnacentral:rRNA from 1 species